rnacentral:rRNA from 1 species
UACGUAGGGGGCAAGCGUUGUCCGGAGUUACUGGGCGUAAAGCGUGCGCAGGCGGUUAUGCAAGACAGAGGUGAAAUCCCCGGGCUCAACCUGGGAACUGCCUUUGUGACUGCAUAGCUAGAGUGCGGCAGAGGGGGAUGGAAUUCCGCGUGUAGCAGUGAAAUGCGUAGAUAUGCGGAGGAACACCGAUGGCGAAGGCAAUCCCCUGGGCCUGCACUGACGCUCAUGCACGAAAGCGUGGGGAGCAAACAGG